rnacentral:lncRNA from 1 species
GGCGGCCCAGGCGGGGGUCUCCCCCGGGGCCUGGGGCGGGCCGAAGAUGUCCAGGCCUGGCCGGAGCCGCCUCCUGAUUGACGAGGCCCGCAUGGGAGUGCGGACGUGCAGCACAGAUUUGCGGGUCUCCUGGGCCUCUUGGGCGGUGAUCAGCGCGGACCUUGGGCCAACCGGGGAAGCAGGCCGGAGCACUACCCCCCACCCCCAUUUUAGAACAUCCUUCUGAGGGCUUCGCUGACCUCGGCUUGAACUCCUUCAGAGCCGGAGAGAUCACUCCUUCCACCACCGAGGGAGAGGAGGCAAAAUGAAUUUGCCAGCUUUGAAUUCAUUCUCAAGGCUCCGCUAGUCUCACAGCCAGUGAACUCAGUCUGGAAUUCCUGAAAGCUCAGAAAACUGCUGCUUAGGUGGCAGCUGAGCAUCCCUGGAGAGGGUGGGUGGUAUGAAAGCACUUCCAGACCUCUAGGGACACCAGGGAGUCAUGGUCCCAGCACAUUGCUGUGUGAUUGAGCCCCUCCUCAGCCUGUGGGUGGCCUAAGUUCACAGGGAGGUAAUGGGGUAGAUUGGAUACCUCUGGGGUCUUGGAAGAAGCUAUGACUUAUUUACUGUCUACUAUGUGACUGAGAGGCAACGUGGGCCUGUUGAAAGAGCGUGGACUUUGGAGCCGCAUGACCUGGCCCUCAAUCCCAACCCUGCGACUCAGAGCUGUGAGCCCUCGGGGAGCUCACAACACCUUUGGGAGCCUCAGUUUCCUUAUCUGUAAAGUGGGGAUGGUGAUAACUACUUCCAAUGUGGUUUUGAGCAACUGGUAGGAUUAGAAAUGUCAACCCC